rnacentral:tRNA from 1 species
CAAAUUAUAGCAUAUAUUAAUGCCUUUUAUUUACACUAAAAAAAAAAAGUUAUAUUUAAUUUGA